rnacentral:guide_RNA from 1 species
AUGGUCUUGAUGGUAGUGUUAUAGUGUAAAUUGUA